rnacentral:lncRNA from 1 species
CAGCAGUGCAAAUUUGCCUGCAAGGUGCUUCACUGGUUAAAAAAACUUAAAAUGGAAUUGGACUCAAGGGAGUCAGGCAUCCAGCUAUCCCCUUAAUUACUAGGACAAAGUUGCAAACAAGAAUUAUGACCAGAAAAAAAAGAUCUUGGUCAUGUUAAAAAAGCACAAUAUUGCAGCUGAGGUCAGAGAAGUCAGAGGCAAACUGAGGGAACCCAACAAGCAGUGAGCUCAGGAGCUGAGUAUUGGACUACAGAGAGAGUAUUCCAGAGCUGGUUGCAGAUGGAGAUAGGAGCAGGUUUGUUUCCAUCGACUGAGGGAUGCUCAGAGCCCAUGGAGGUCAGGUCAGCAGCUCACAGCACCACAUCCCAUCCCAGCUGGCAGAGAAAAUCUGUGUUAUCUAUCUGGAGAAAACUUGUCUACUGCUGGAGAAAUGGAAAACAGGGAUGUUAAAACAGCCAUUACAACUCCAAAAACUCCAAUCCUGGAGCACACAGAGCCUCACAUGGCACUAAAACCUAC